CUUCGGAUGACCUCCCGUAAAGUGAUGCAACCUCCCCCGCGCCUGGGGUGGCUCCUUCUGUGCAACCACAAUUAGCUUCACGGCUCCAGCUUGCAGCCACAGCAUCUGCUCCCAUAACUUAUGGGGCUAAACUGUCAGAAGAGGAGAAAACCAGACAGCAGGCAGGGGGCGAGAAAGGGCUGGUCUCUCCUGAGCCCCAGAGGCGCCUGAGGAGCUCGGGCUCCAGAGAGGCCAGGUUGGCUUCCUCCGAGGGUGAAGGAGCUGAGACACCUCCAUGGCCACCCCCACAUCUGUGUGGCAGCUCCUGUGACCUCACCCUGGUCCAGAUGCUCCAUGGGGUCCUCCCAGCCCCACCCCCACAUGCAGUCAGAUGUCCGGCUUCUGCCCCUAUCCCUGCAGGCUCACCUUCCUGCCCCCACACCAUCACCUUAUUUCAGGCCCUCAGCCUGUCUCACCUGAUCAGUUGCAAUACCUUCCUAACCAGCUUACCUGUCUCCAAGCUGGUGACCCCAUAAAUCAUCUUCCAGCUCCCAAUUCGCUUCUUAAAGUGAAACUCUUACUGUUUCACUUCCUCACCUCAAGAAACUUUGGUGGCUUCCCAGUAAGGCUCAGACAGUGAAGAAUCUGCCCGCAAUUCAGGAGACCCGGGUACGAUCCCUUGGUCAGGAAGAUUCCCUGGAGAAGGACAUGGCUACCUACUCCAGUAUUCUUGCCUGGAGAACCCCACGGACAGAGGAGCCUGGCAGCCUGCAGUCCAUGGAGUCACAAAGAAUCAGAUGUGACUGAGUGACUUUCACUUACUCAGGAACUUACUGAAAUAAUUGCUCAACUUGGCAGUCAAGCUGGCACCCACCAACCCCAGGCCACCAACUUUCACCAGCACUGAGGCAGUGAGAACAGUGUGCUGCAGGCUUAGGGGUCAAGCCCUAGCUCUAUCACUUGCAAACAGGGUUAACUGGAGUAAGUCCUAUAAAGUCCGGGGGCCUCACUUUCCUCAUCUAUUAAAUGGGGAUAGGAGACCACCUCCCAGACGUGCUAGGAGCUGUAAAUGGGGAGAUGCUUGUAAGAGCUCCACAAAUGUUCCCCACUUCCCUCUGUAGAGACGUGUCCAUUGGCUGAGCUCCGUCUGAAGCAGCUGAGGAGAAGGCAGUGAAAUCAGUUCCUGAUACAUAUUCAGGGAACUCUCAGCAGCUGUUUCUCCAAGAACAGAGAGUCUGGAGGGACCCACCUGCAGCCCAUCGAGGCCCUAGGCGCUGAGUCACCAGCCAGGCCAGGACACCACAACAGGCACCGUCACUGAAAAGCAAACAACAGCAAAUCCACGAGGAAGCCAUUCACGGGAUUAAUGGGGGUGAAAGGCACAAGCCUGUUCCUGUUCCAUGUUGGCAGUAGACGUGGAAGGCCUGAUCUGCCCAUGCAGAGGCAGGUCUUAGAGGAGACAGAUCACCUGGCUGUGGCAGUCUCGACCUUUUUUGUGCCCGGGACCCCCUUAGAAGCCAAUAUUAUUUUUUGAAUGAAUGAAGUAAAAUACAUAGGAUUUAAAAGAAAACCAACGACAUUGAAAAACAGUUGGCAGAGAAUAAAGCUGUGUGGUAGGGCAGCCCAGGCGCAUGGCUGGGAACACUUAGGACAACAAGACAGCAUCAGACCUGCAGUCAGCCUUGGUCUGAUUGUGUGAUGAUAUAUUUAGUCUAGAUCUGGAGAUGUCCCUAACUGUCACAUGAUAUGAA